UUGGCAAACUUGGCGAAAGCUAAGGACGCAAAGCAAAGAGGCUAAAGCAUAUGCUACGCUCGUCUGGCUGC
rnacentral:ncRNA from 1 species